CGCCUCUUGCAACACACUAAAAGAAUAAGAGGUCCCGCCUGCCCUGUGACUAUAUGUUUAACGGCCGCGGUAUUUUGACCGUGCGAAGGUAGCGCAAUCACUUGUCUCUUAAAUGGGGACCUGUAUGAAUGGCAUAACGAGGGCUUAACUGUCUCCUUUUUCAAGUCAAUGAAAUUGAUUUCCCCGUGCAGAAGCGGGGAUAAGAACAUAAGACGAGAAGACCCUAUGGAGCUUUAGACAUCGAGGUAGACCAUCUUAAAACCCCACGCAAAAGGGAAUUGAGCCUAAUGGAUCCUACCCUAAUGUCUUUGGUUGGGGCGACCGCGGAGUAAUAAGAAACCUCCGCAUGGACUGGGCAUACAAUUUCCCACAGCUAAGAGUCACAACUCGACCCAACAGUACUUCUGACCUUUAUGAUCCGGCAACGCCGAUUAACGGACCGAGUUACCCUAGGGAUAACAGCGCAAUCCCCUUUUAGAGCCCAUAUCGACAAGGGGGUUUACGACCUCGAUGUUGGAUCAGGACAUCCUAAUGGUGCAGCCGCUAUUAAGGGUUCGUUUGUUCAACGAUUAAAGUCCU
rnacentral:rRNA from 1 species